AAACUUGAGAGUUUGAUCCUGGCUCAGAACGAACGCUGGCGGCAGGCCUAACACAUGCAAGUCGAACGUGAAGCUGGAGCUUGCUCCAGUGGAAAGUGGCAGACGGGUGAGUAACGCGUGGGAAUUUACCCAGUGGUUCGGAAUAACUUCGGGAAACCGGAGCUAAUACCGAAUACGCCCUCCGGGGGAAAGAUUUAUCGCCAUUGGAUGAGCCCGCGUCGGAUUAGCUUGUUGGUGGGGUAAAAGCCUACCAAGGCGACGAUCCGUAGCUGGUCUGAGAGGAUGAUCAGCCACACUGGGACUGAGACACGGCCCAGACUCCUACGGGAGGCAGCAGUGGGGAAUAUUGCACAAUGGGCGCAAGCCUGAUGCAGCCAUGCCGCGUGAGUGAAGAAGGCCUUAGGGUUGUAAAACUCUUUCACCGGUGAAGAUAAUGACGGUAGCCGGAGAAGAAGCCCCGGCCAACUCCGUGCCAGCAGCCGCGGUAAUACGGAGGGGGCUAGCGUUGUUCGGAAUUA
rnacentral:rRNA from 1 species